UCAUCCCCAAGCACAAAACUUAAGCAUUUAAGCCUCAAACUCAAUCCUUUUGGGCUAAUUUUUGGAAAACACUUGAAAACCCAUAAUACAACACGUUUCAAAGAUCAAUUUUGUAAAAUCAAGCCCAAAGGUAAACCAAUUGAACACCAAAUUCAAAGAAGUUUUCAUGAAUUAUGUAAAAACAUAACAUGCAUGAACUCUUAUGAACUCUAGUGCUCUAAAACCUGAUCAAAUGCAAGAUUAAGCUCAAGAACAAAGUGAAUUCAAGGGCCUCAACUGAAAUAUACACAUGCAUGGAAGAAAUUCAUGCUAAACAACCUCAAAAUGCAAGAAUAUAUACAUGCAUGCAUAAAUUCACCCUCAACCUCAACUCCUCAAACCAAUUCUUGACUUUAAACUCUAAAUUACCAUGGACCAUGCAAGAUACAACUCAAAUUCACAAAUGAGAGGGUGAAAUCUCUACCUUAGGUCUUGAAUUCAAGGUAUAGAAGCUUAAUUUUGCAAAUGCUCUUCAAUUCUACUAAAAUUUCCAAGCAAAGCUCUUGAUGAACUCUAUUUUCUCCUACCUCUCUCUCUCCCAUGGUUUGGCCUAAGAAAAGGAUGAGAUGGUGGUGCAACAAUUGAUAUGAAUCACACUCCAAACAAAGUUUCUAAAGUGGCCCACUAAGUGGCAAUUUGAUAAAUAACUUGAACUAAUGCGAUUUAACAUUAUUUAAUCUAAUUUGAUCGUUCCAAGUCACAUUUCAAUUAAACCUACCAUAAAAUCACAUAAAUUCUAAUUAAUACAUAACACUAAUCAAUUUCUGAUUCGGCCGCCGAUAAGGCCUUUAAUUUACAGUUCGAACUUAAAACAUGAACAGAUCAAUCAAUUGAUAAACAGACAGAAAUGCAACCAAACAGCAUACUCAUGCAAUCAGUUUAGGAUUUCCUCCUAAUUAGUUACUUAUCAUAUUCAGUCACUGUUUAGCUGUAAUCAGAGGUGAGGGUUGUCACAAAAACUGAAAAAAGCUUGUCUAAAAUAUAAAUACUAACACCGUCACCACUUGCUCUACUACCCUAACCAACAACACUACCUCCACCAGUCUACUAUUGCUACUACCACUAGUUUCACUAUACUAUUAACACCACCAUCACUAGCUUGGUCAUCCUAAAAUCAUCACCAAUUUCACUGUCCUACCCUACUAGCACCACCAGUUCCAAACCACCUCUCCCAUUCUACCUUUACUACCACCACAGCCGCCUAUACCACUACCACCACUAGAUCCACCACCCCCCAAGUUCCAUCACUAUACUACCAACACUAUUACUGCCAUCUCCACCACCACCACCAAUUCCAACCACCUCUCCCAUUCUGCUUUUAUUACCACCACAACCGCCUAUACCACUACCACCACUAGAUCCACCACCCUCUAACUUCCAUCAUUAUACUACCAACACUAUUACUGCCAUCUCCACCACCACCACCAAUUCCAACCACCUCUCCCAUUCUACUUUUACUACCACCACAACCACUUAUACCACUACCACCACUAGAUCCACCACCCUCUUAACUUCCAUCACUAUACUACCAACACUAUCACUACCAUAUUCACCACCACCACCACCACCAAUUCCAACCACCUCUCCCAUUCUACUUUUACUACCUCCACAGCUGCCUAUACCACUACCACCACUAGAUCCACCACCCCCUAACUUCCAUCACUAUACUACCAAUACUAUCACUACCAUAUCCACCACUCUAUAACCUUCACGACCCCCACUACCCUAUUACCAAUGAAUUGGAUAUAUAUAUAUAUAUAUUUUUAAAGUAAUGAACAAAUGACUAAUUCAAUAUUUUUAUGUAUAAUAUUGAGUGUAUGCAAACUUAACCAAUAUUAUCGACUCAAUAAAACAUUUCAUGUAAACUUGAAUAUUUCCAAAUUGAUUACAUCUUAAAAUUCAAUUUUUAUUUAUUUUCAAUUCAAAAAUCAAACCAAAUUAGUUGUUUUAAUAUUAUUGUAAAAAAAUGUGAAUUACAUAUAUAUUAAAAUACAACAAUCACAUUGAUACGUAUAUAUUUUAAUAGUCACAUAUCUUUUGUUUUAAAUACAUCUAAUCCAAAUAGACAUAAAUAGUGCAUAAUUUGUCUAUCUAGAUUAAAUAAAUUUUAAAAAUAAAAAAUUAUUUAAAAAACAAAAAAUACAUUUUUAAAAAAUUGUAACCAAACAAGAUACUAACUUUAUUGCCAACAAGGUACAAGGUAUAAAUUAGUUUAACUUUUUUGGUUGAACUGGAACAAGGUACAAGGUACAAGGUACACUUUUUUUUUUUAAAUACAUCAAUUAUAAAAAUUUCAUUUCUUUGUUGUCAUCUACAGACAGUCACCAACAAUAACAUUGAAAUGUAUUAAUUAGUAUAUCAAUUAAUUUAUCAAUUUAUAAUAUUAUUAUUUUAAAAUUAUUAUCACAUUUAUUAUAUAAAUUAUAAAGACUUAAAAUUUUUAAAAUUAUGCCAACAUCAUCUAUUAAUACACUAAUUAAUAUAUCAAUUAAUACAUAUAAUAUUAUUUAAAUAAAAUACAAUCAUUGUAUCUACACCUUUUGUUCCAUCAAUUGCUUUCCUUCCUUGGGAAGCUUUACUUGCCAGCCACAAACUUCUAAUCACUCUGAUAAACAACUCCCAAGAGUACAAACAAAUCAACCAACUCCCAAGAGUACAAACAACUACCAAGAAUACAAACAAGUGUCACCUUUUCACCUUCCACUUGAUAUAUGCUUUUUUUUGCAUAUAGCAGUUUAGCUCCCCAAAAAACAGAGGCUUCGGCUGUAUGUAUCUUUAGCCCCAAAAAAAUCUGUCAAAACUUCCUUCCAUUAUUAAUUUCAUCUACAGGGGAAAUGUCUUCCUCCCAAUCUUCAUCCAAGCAAAAGCAAACCUUGCGUCUAGCAGCAUGUCAAGGAGCUGAGUUUGAUGACAAGCCAUUGUGGAAUCAUGUGAAGGUUCUCAAUGUGGCUUCAGGUGGAGGUGGAAAUAGAACCUGGUCCUGUAAUUAAUGCAGCAAAAAGGUAAUUGGGUCAUAUACAAAGGUGAAAGCUCAUCUGUUAAAGCUUUCAAAUCAUGGAGUUGAACCUUGCAAAUCCAUAAGAGAUGAUGUUGAAGCUAUAAGGAAGGAGCAUGAUGGUGCUGAAGUGAGAAAAGCUCAACAAGCAUUAAAUGCAAGAAAAAAAGCAGAAUAUGUCACUUUACCAGAAGGCUCAAACUUGCUGCAACAGAAAAAACGCAAGGGAAUGGCUCCACCAGGUGCUUUGCAAAAGUCAUUUAAUGUUUCUCAGAGAGAUAUUGCUGACAAAGAUUGUGCUCGCAUGUUCUAUGCAAGUGGCUUACCUUUCAAUCUGGCAAGGUCACCUUACUUUCGGAAGUAUUCUCAGUCUUUAGCAAACAGCAGCUUGAUGGGCUACACUCCUCCUUCAUAUGAUAGGCUACGUACCACAUUAUUAUCCCGAGAAAAAGCGCAUGUUAAUAGGCUACUGCAACCUAUUAGAGAUUCAUGGAACAAGAAAGGGGUUUCAUUGCUCUCUGAUGGGUGGUCAGAUAGGCAACGACGCCCUCUUAUCAAUGUCAUGGCAUCAUCUGUAAGAGGAGCAAUGUUUGUCAAAGUUAUUGAUUCAAGUGGAAUUGUAAAAGAUGGAGAAUAUGUUGCAAGUUUGUUCAUUAAAGCCAUCAAAGAGGUCGGAGAAGCAAAUUUUGUUCAGAUUGUAACUGAUAAUGCAUCCAACUACAAAGCUGCUGGGUUGAGCAUUGAAAACAAGUAUCCACAUAUUUUCUGGACUCCAUGUGUGGUGCAUAGUUUGAAUUUGGCAUUGAAGAGCGUAUGUACCCCACCAGAUAAAUCAGCUCAAUAUGAUCAAUGUAAAUGGAUUUCAGAUUUAGUUUUUCAAGUGCAGAAUAUUCGCAAUUUUAUUCUCAACCAUAACAUGGCAUUGUCUAUUUUCAAUGAAUAUUCUACUUUGAGAUUGUUAAGUGUAGCAGAAACUAGGUUUGCAUCCAACAUCAUCAUGACUCUACGUUUGAGGGAAGUUAAGACAUCCCUUGAGAAAAUGGUGAUGGAUGCAAACUGGAAAAUUUAUAGGGAAGAUGGCAAUAGUGUGGCUGAGAUUAAAGCUUGUGAGGUAAAACAAUGCAUUGUGGAUGACUCAUGGUGGGAUAAGAUAGAUUACCUCAUAAGCUUUACUAAACCUAUCAUUGACAUGUUAAGGCAAGUAGACACAGACUCUCCUGUUUUACAUCUGGUAUAUGACAUUUGGGAUACCAUGAUUAAAAGUGUGAAAAAAAAUCAUCUUUGACCAUGAAGGGAUAGACAUAAUUGUUGGUCAAUCAACCUUCUUUAAUGUCAUUCACCAAAUUUUGGAGAGUAGAUGGAACAAAAGUAAUACCUUUUUACAUUGUAUGGCCCAUUCAUUGGUUCCAAAAUACUACUGUCGUGCUUGGCUCCAAGAUGGUAGUAAUGGAAUUCCAAGAAUAUCACCAGAUGAGGAUCAUGAAGUCUCCAUGAAUAGAAGCAAAUGUUUGAAGAGGUUGUUUCCUAAUCAACCUGAUUUACGGAAAGUUUAUGCUGAAUAUGGAGCAUUUUCUAGUGGGUCAGAUUAUUUCAAUUGGCCUCAUGUCAUUGAUGCAAGAAUGUUUGAGGAACCUCUUUCAUGGUGGGCCAAUCAUGGUGCUUCCGCACCAUUACUACAAGCAUUGGCUUUUAAAUUGCUUGUGCAGCCAGCAUCUUCCUCUUGUUGCAAGAGAAAUUGGAGUACAUAUUCUCUAAUUCAAAGCGUUAAGAGAAACCGAUUAGCAACAAGUAGAGCUGAAGACUUGGUGUUUGUGCAUUGCAAUCUUCACCUUUUGUCAAGGAAGAGCAAGGAGUAUAAAGAAGGACCCACAAAAUAUUGGGGCAUAUGUGGAGAUUUGUUUGAUAUAGAAGGGCAUGACAUAAUGGAGCUAGCACAAAUUUCCCUUGAUGAUCCAGAGAUGCAGACCAUGACUUUUGAUGAUGACAAUGAAAGUCAGCAAGUUGUUGAAGAUUAAACCAAUUGAAGAAGAGUGACAGUCAGCUAGUGUUUUUUUUUUUUAUUUUGAUAAAUAGUCAACUAGUUUCUUUGUAGUCAUCUAUUCUUGGUUUAGGAGUAGAAGACUUCAAAGAAAUUGUGUUUUUUCAUUUCAAGAACUAUGCAAGACCUUUAAGGACAUUAUGUUUUUUGGAUAAUUUAUUUUGGUAUAUGUUUUUUGGAUAAUUUAUUUUUGUGGCAUGUAAUGAAGUUACAUUUGCUAGAU